rnacentral:rRNA from 1 species
CCCAGACUCCUACGGGAGGCAGCAGUGAGGAAUAUUGGUCAAUGGUCGGGAGACUGAACCAGCCAAGCCGCGUGAGGGAUGAAGGUACAGAGUAUCGUAAACCUCUUUUGUCAGGGAACAAAGGCGGGGACGCGUCCCCGGAUGAGUGUACCUGAAGAAAAAGCAUCGGCUAACUCCGUGCCAGCAGCCGCGGUAAUACGGAGGAUGCGGGCGUUAUCCGGAUUUAUUGGGUGUAAAGGGUGCGUAGACGGGAUAACAAGUUGGUUGUGAAACCCCUCGGCUCAACUGAGGAACUGCAACCAAAACUAUUAUUCUUGAGUGCAGGAGAGGAAAGUGGAAUUCCUAGUGUAGCGGUGAAAUGCGUAGAUAUUAGGAAGAACACCGGUGGCGAAGGCGACUUUCUGGACUGUAACUGACGUUGAGGCACGAAAGUGUGGGGAGCAAACAGGAUUAGAUACCCCCGUAU